GAAGAAAAGAAAUAAAAGCUCCGGUUGCUGAUUCAGAUCGAGAAAUAGGCAGACUGAUAGAUGAAAGAGAGAGACUAAGAGUGAAUCAUUCUGAUGAUCUUGAUGGUGUUCGAUUUUAUGGAUGAUGUUUCGAUCGGUGUUUGUUGAUUUAGGGUUUAAGAAGAAAUUGCGGAUGAAACUGACGAGGGAAUCGGAGCUGAAAUUGAUAUGGGUUUGUCGAAAUAAGGGUUAUUGAGAACUGAGAUUGAUGAUUAAGUUAAGAGAAUUGAAGAAUUUCAGAAACUAGGGUUUGGUGUUGGGAAGAGCAGCCACUACGCCAAAAUUGAGGUUAUUCGACGGGGGGUGUUUACUGAAUUUGAUUCGAAAACCCCGUAUUUUCAUUUUUGAUAGACGUUUGCUAUCAAUUUAUUAUUCUGAACAUGGCCCCCUGUUGGGCUUCUAUUAUCGACGGGGUCAACAAGAGAACUUGGUCUAAUUUCAUUUCUGAUCCUUUUUUCCCCAAAUUUUAUUUUUCUUCGUUUCACUCCGCAACUCAACCCAGAAGGAGCGAUCUCUCUUCUCCAUCAACUAAUCAAUUUGAAGAUUACAUCAUCGAAAGGUUUUAUUUCUAAUGGAUUUACCUAAGAAGCAUUUAUCUAAUGGAUUGCUUGGAGUUUCAGGAGUCGGUGCUUCUGUAAUGCUACUAAUGCCUCCAAAAGACGGAGUUCGAUAAAAAGGUAAUAAUUUUCCCCUUCAAAUUUGCUUGAAAUGCCAUAAUGUUGCUGCCGUAUGGACUCUUGGAUUUAAGGUCUCUAUGAUUAUGGGAAUAAGAUCAUUUGUGAUUAUGUGAAAUAACUAAAGCUUUGAAGGAUUUUGCUCGAUUCUUCUGAAGAUACCUUCCAGUUGAUUCACCCUUGAUUAGAGCUUAUGGAUUCGUUGGUGUAUAUUUGGACACAGAAUCAUCUUUCAUGAGGUGUGAGAAUGGUUCGUCUUAUUUUUUCAUCCAUCAGCACUUCACUCUUAGCAGCAACACUGGCAUGCGAUGAUUCUUCACCUCGGCUCGUACCUUCAACGAAGCUAUGCGGUCUUUAGAGCUAUCUCUUGACCAGGUGGUCUGUUGUUUUCCAAUUUCAAUGUGAUCUGCCAGAACAAUACUGUGAGAUGGAAAGUCAUGAAGAAAACUUGCAUAAGCUGUUAAGGCAGAGUAAAAUCGACGACACCAAGGAUGUUAUGAAGCAUAAAGCUAGUUAGAUUGACAAAAUCAAGUUUUACAGUAAUGUGAUAACAUUUCAUGUCCAUAUGCAUCUUGAGAGGGGCAUGACGGAGGGCUUGGUUCUAUGCAGUCAUUAUCAUUGAGAAUUGAGAGUAGCAUCAUGGACUUGAACCACUGAAGUUGAAGUUAUUGUUGAGGAUGUGAAACAAAGCGGUGCAGUCUCCAAAGUACUUAAUCAGGAGGAUGGACUAAUUCAAGCUCAGUCAACUGCUGGCCGUCUGUAUGUGGAGGUGACAGUUAUUUGUCUAUGGAUUCCAAAUAAAGGGAAAAAAAUCAUUGUCAGUAUUUUGAUUUGAGGAAUCUUCUCAUUUACUAAUCAUGUGUAUUCAGCGGAAGUGAUCUUUCCUCUUGCCCCUCGCAUUUUGCCAUUUUGCAGAGAGUCCAGAGUUUGAGUUACUAACUAGUUGGAUUCUCCUCGCUGCAGAGAAUUGCAGCGAUAAGGCUCAACUCACCGAGUCGAAGAAAGAGAAGGACUGACUGAAGGAUACCAGCAUCGCAGCUACUUCAGACAUCCGUUGUCUUUUGUUGUCUUUUUUCUUUUCGUGGAUGUUGUCUCCUUUCUUUUAUGUUCCUUGAACAAAGAAUACUCGUGAGAUUGGGUUUUUAUAAUAUAUGAUGAUUUGUUUUGAAUUUAAAA